GAUGAAGAACGCAGCAAAAUGCGAUAAGUAAUGUGAAUUGCAGAAUUCAGUGAAUCAUCGAAUCUUUGAACGCACAUUGCGCCCGCUGGUAUUCCGGCGGGCAUGCCUGUUCGAGCAUCAUUUCAACCCUCAAGCCCCCGGGUUUGGUGUUGGGGAUCGGCUCUGCCCUUCUGGGCGGUGCCGCCCCCGAAAUACAUUGGCGGUCUCGCUGCAGCCUCCAUUGCGUAGUAGCUAACACCUCGCAACUGGAACGCGGCGCGGCCAUGCCGUAAAACCCCAACUUCUGAAUGUUGACCUCGGAUCAGGUAGGAAUACCCGCUGAACUUAAGCAUAUCAAUAAGCGGAGGA
rnacentral:misc_RNA from 1 species